GAGUUUGAUCCUGGCUCAGAACGAACGCUGGCGGCGUGCCUAAAACAUGCAAGUCGAGCGAGAAAGGGGGCAACCCUGAGUAAAGCGGCGCACGGGUGCAUAACACGUGGGUAAUCUGCCUCGGAGAGCGGGAUAACUAGCCGAAAGGUUAGCUAAUACCGCAUAAGCUUACGAUUCCUUCGGGAGUUGUGAGAAAAGGCGGCCUCUGUAUACAAGCUGUCACUCCGAGAUGAGCCCGCGGCCCAUCAGCUAGUUGGCGGUGUAAAAGACCACCAAGGCUAUGACGGGUAGCUGGUCUGAGAGGACGAUCAGCCACACUGGAACUGAGACACGGUCCAGACUCCUACGGGAGGCAGCAGUUGGGAAUAUUGCGCAAUGGGCGAAAGCCUGACGCAGCAACGCCGCGUGAGCGAUGAAGGUCUUCGGAUCGUAAAGCUCUUUCGGCCGGGACGAAAACUCACUGUUUAAUAAGCGGUGACUUGACGGUACCGGAAGAAGAAGCACCGGCUAACUCUGUGCCAGCAGCCGCGGUAAUACAGAGGGUGCAAGCGUUGUACGGAAUUAUUGGGCGUAAAGCGCGUGUAGGCGGCUUUGUGUGUCGGGUGUGAAAGCCCUCGGCUUAACCGAGGAAGUGCGCCCGAGACUGCAGAGCUUGAGUGCCGGAGAGGAGAGCGGAACACCCGGUGUAGAGGUGAAAUUCGUAGAUAUCGGGUAGAACACCAGUGGCGAAGGCG
rnacentral:rRNA from 1 species